GACAGAGGAUGCAAGCGUUAUCCGGAAUUACUGGGCGUAAAGAGUUGCGUAGGCGGCAUAGUAAGCAGGUAGUGAAAUGACGGGGCUCAACCUCGUGUCCAUUAUCUGAACUGCUAAGCUAGAGUAUGAUAGAGGUAGAUGGAAUUUCUAGUGUAGGAGUGAAAUCCGUAGAUAUUAGAAGGAACACCGAUGGCGUAGGCAGUCUACUGGAUCAUUACUGACGCUCAGGCACGAAAGCGUGGGGAGCGACCGGG
rnacentral:rRNA from 1 species